CUUACCUCCUCGUUCCUGAACCUGAGUUCACACUCAUCGACGGGGACACCCCAGCACUUCUUACGUAGAGGCCGAUGAUCUCCUGGACAACAGACCAGUGGCGCCGAGACGAAGGGAGGUCCACGCAGAAGUUCAGGGGUGCAGCCGUAGAGAACGUGGGCAAAGAUAGACCGUCUCACGCCUCUGCCUCUCAGCUACCGUUGAACGAUGAGCUUCCCGGCCAAUGCACCAAAU